AAUCGAAUCGAAGUACUAUUGCCAACUGGGCUACUCUCACUGGAUAGAUUGCCAAUUAAAACUGAUUUAAUACGAAGACGGCAUAAGGGAACCUAACCUUGAACCUGAUUUUAAAACUCACUUGUGUUUAAGAUAAUCAAACCAGGUAAUAAAACAAUUCACUCUAUGGAUCCUAUGGGAGAACAGAUAAAUUCCAUCAAAAAAGAAGAAGUGAAAUGGAAUAGUUGUUACUUACAACAAAGAUAUAGUGUUUUAGAAAAGUUUGAAAUAUUAACAUUACCUUAUGCUAUACAAGCUGAUGGUAUAUCAUGUGGAGUAUUCUGCCUUAAAUUAACUUUAAGACUCUUAACU